GGGGGAUAUUGCGCAAUAGGGGCAACCCUGACGCAGCAACGCCGCGUGAAGGAUGAAGGUUUUCGGAUUGUAAACUUCUUUUAUUAAGGACGAAAAAUGACGGUACUUAAUGAAUAAGCUCCGGCUAACUACGUGCCAGCAGCCGCGGUAAUACGUAGGGAGCAAGCGUUGUCCGGAUUUACUGGGUGUAAAGGGUGCGUAGGCGGCUUUGCAAGUCAGAUGUGAAAUCUAUGGGCUCAACCCAUAAACUGCAUUUGAAACUGUAGAGCUUGAGUGAAGUAGAGGCAGGCGGAAUUCCCCGUGUAGCGGUGAAAUGCGUAGAGAUGGGGAGGAACACCAGUGGCGAAGGCGGCCUGCUGGGCUUUAACUGACGCUGAGGCACGAAAGCGUGGGUAGCAAACAGGAUUAGAUACCCUGGUAGUCCACGCUGUAAACGAUGAUUACUAGGUGUGGGGGGUCUGACCCCUUCCGUGCCGGAGUUAACACAAUAAGUAAUCCACCUGGGGAGUACGGCCGCAAGGUUGAAACUCAAAGGAAUUGACGGGGGCCCGCACAAGCAGUGGAGUAUGUGGUUUAAUUCGAAGCAACGCGAAGAACCUUACCAGGUCUUGACAUCCAACUAACGAAGUAGAGAUACAUUAGGUGCCCUUCGGGGAAAGUUGAGACAGGUGGUGCAUGGUUGUCGUCAGCUCGUGUCGUGAGAUGUUGGGUUAAGUCCCGCAACGAGCGCAACCCUUGCUAUUAGUUGCUACGCAAGAGCACUCUAAUAGGACUGCCGUUGACAAAACGGAGGAAGGUGGGGACGACGUCAAAUCAUCAUGCCCCUUAUGACCUGGGCUACACACGUACUACAAUGGAUGUUAACAGAGGGAAGCAAGACAGCGAUGUGGAGCAAACCCCUAAAAACAUUCUCAGUUCAGAUUGCAGGCUGCAACCCGCCUGCAUGAAGAUGGAAUUGCUAGUAAUCGCGGAUCAGCAUGCCGCGGUGAAUACGUUCCCG
rnacentral:rRNA from 1 species